rnacentral:rRNA from 1 species
CAGCAGCCACGGUAAUACGGAGGGAGCUAGCGUUAUUCGGAAUUACUGGGCGUAAAGCGCACGUAGGCGGCUUUGUAAGUUAGAGGUGAAAGCCUGGAGCUCAACUCCAGAAUUGCCUUUAAGACUGCAUCGCUUGAAUCCAGGAGAGGUGAGUGGAAUUCCGAGUGUAGAGGUGAAAUUCGUAGAUAUUCGGAAGAACAUCAGUGGCGAAGGCGGCUCACUGGACUGGUAUUGACGCUGAGGUGCGAAAGCGUGGGGAGCAAACAGGAUUAGAUACCCCCGUAGUCCCUGUCUCUUAUAC